rnacentral:rRNA from 1 species
UACAGAGGUGGCAAGCGUUGUUCGGAUUCAUUGGGCGUAAAGGGUGCGUAGGCGGCGUGGUAAGUCGGGUGUGAAAUCUCGGAGCUUAACUCCGAAACUGCAUUCGAUACUGCCGUGCUUGAGGACUGGAGAGGAGACUGGAAUUUACGGUGUAGCGGUGAAAUGCGUAGAUAUCGUAAGGAAGACCAGUGGCGAAGGCGGGUCUCUGGACAGUUCCUGACGCUGAGGCACGAAGGUCAGGGGAGCAAACGGG